GAUGAACGCUAGCUACAGGCUUAACACAUGCAAGUCGAGGGGCAGCAUGAGGGUAGCAAUACCUUUGAUGGCGACCGGCGCACGGGUGCGUAACACGUAUCCAAUCUACCCAUGGCUCGGGAAUAGCCUUUCGAAAGAAAGAUUAAUGCCCGAUGGUCUGUGAUUGAGACAUCUCGAUUACAGUAAAGAUUUAUCGGCGAUGGAUGAGGAUGCGUCCGAUUAGGUAGUAGGCGGGGUAACGGCCCACCUAGCCGACGAUCGGUAGGGGUUCUGAGAGGAAGGUCCCCCACAUUGGAACUGAGACACGGACCAGACUCC
rnacentral:rRNA from 1 species